rnacentral:rRNA from 1 species
AUGUGCACGCUCUGCUCAUCCACUCUACCCCUGUGCACUUACUGUAGGUUGGCGUGGGCUCCUUAACGGGAGCAUUCUGCCGGCCUAUGUAUACUACAAACACUUUAAAGUAUCAGAAUGUAAACGCGUCUAACGCAUCUAUAAUACAACUUUUAGCAACGGAUCUCUUGGCUCUCGCAUCGAUGAAGAACGCAGCGAAAUGCGAUAAGUAAUGUGAAUUGCAGAAUUCAGUGAAUCAUCGAAUCUUUGAACGCACCUUGCGCUCCUUGGUAUUCCGAGGAGCAUGCCUGUUUGAGUGUCAUGGAAUUCUCAACUUAUAAAUCCUUGUGAUCUAUAAGCUUGGACUUGGAGGCUUGCUGGCCCUUGUUGGUCGGCUCCUCUUGAAUGCAUUAGCUCGAUUCCGUACGGAUCGGCUCUCAGUGUGAUAAUUGUCUACGCUGUGACCGUGAAGUGUUUUGGCGAGCUUCUAACCGUCCAUUAGGACAACUUUUUAACAUCUGACCUCAAAUCAGGUAGGACUACCCGCUGAACUUAAGCAUAUCAAUAAGCGGAGGAAAAGAAACUAACAAGGAUUCCCCUAGUAACUGCGAGUGAAGCGGGAAAAGCUCAAAUUUAAAAUCUGGCGGUCUUUGGCCGUCCGAGUUGUAGUCUGGAGAAGCGUCUUCCGCGUUGGACCGUGUACAAGUCUCUUGGAACAGAGCGUCAUAGAGGGUGAGAAUCCCGUCUUUGACACGGACUACCAAUGCUUUGUGAUGCGCUCUCAAAGAGUCGCGUUGUUUGGGAAUGCAGCGCAAAA